rnacentral:tRNA from 8 species
UCCCCGGUAGCUCAGUCGGUAGAGCAAGUGACUGUUAAUCACUGGGUCGGCGGUUCGAGUCCGUCCCGGGGAGCCA